UACGUAGGGUGCGAGCGUUGUCCGGAAUUAUUGGGCGUAAAGGGCUCGUAGGCGGUUUGUCGCGUCGGGAGUGAAAACCUUGGGCUUAACUCAGGGCUUGCUUUCGAUACGGGCAGACUAGAGGUAUGCAGGGGAGACUGGAAUUCUCGGUGUAGCAGUGAAAUGCGUAGAUAUCGAGAGGAACACCAGUGGCGAAGGCGAGUCUCUGGACAAUUCCUGACGCUGAGGCACGAAAGCUAGGGGAGCAAACAGG
rnacentral:rRNA from 1 species